rnacentral:rRNA from 1 species
GACGAACGCUGGCGGCAUGCCUAAUACAUGCAAGUCGAGCGGACUUGAUGAGAAGCUUGCUUCUCAGAUAGUUAGCGGCGGACGGGUGAGUAACACGUAGGCAACCUGCCCUCAAGCUUGGGACAACUACCGGAAACGGUAGCUAAUACCGAAUACUUGUUUUCUUCGCCUGAAGGAAACUGGAAAGACGGAGCAAUCUGUCACUUGGGGAUGGGCCUGCGGCGCAUUAGCUAGUUGGUGAGGUAACGGCUCACCAAAGCGACGAUGCGUAGCCGACCUGAGAGGGUGAUCGGCCACACUGGGACUGAGACACGGCCCAGACUCCUACGGGAGGCAGCAGUAGGGAAUCUUCCGCAAUGGGCGAAAGCCUGACGGAGCAAUGCCGCGUGAGUGAUGAAGGUUUUCGGAUCGUAAAGCUCUGUUGCCAGGGAAGAACGCUUGGGAGAGUAACUGCUCCCAAGGUGACGGUACCUGAGAAGAAAGCCCCGGCUAACUACGUGCCAGCAGCCGCCGUAA